AAAGUAUUAUUACCAUUUAAAGUAUUUAUUUAUGUACUAAGAUAUUCUAUAUUUAUUAGAGUCCAUCAAUGCUCUUCUUUCAUAUUAGCCUUUGAUUUUCGUAUAAUCAAAUCUAAUGGUUUAUAUAAAUAUGGCGCAUCCAAUAAGCACAUAAUUAUUGUGCUCGUUUUAGACAUACCAUUUCCUCAAUCACCAUGUAUUAAAUAAUUUUCUAAACCAACUUUGGUUGGUUGAGUGGUAAGCUCACUCGUUCAUUUAAGCAAGUGUCGGAAUUUAAAUUUUGUCUUGUGCACGUAGUAAUUUAUUGGCCACCGCCAGACCUUUAAAUAGAGUUCAAAUCCGCGACAAAUUAGUCCAUGACCUGUCAGAUUAGGAGAUACCAUGAGAAAUAAAAAAAAAUAAUUUUCCAACAUCAAAUUUUGUUUUAUAAUUAUGAAUUAUAUUCAACUUGUUAAAUUUUAAAACACUAUGCAUCAAACAAAUAUACUAACUAAUUUUUAUUAUUAUUUAAUAAAUCUCAACUUUACUAAUUUAUUUUAAAUACUUCAAUCAUUCCAAUUAUUCUGAUUAACUCAAUAAUCAUUAAAAAUUAUUAAAACUGAAUUAAAUCAAACUUCAAUAAAAAAAAUCAAACCUCCGGCGAGCAGAUUUGGCUGCAUUUCUAGGCAAUUCAGGGACGUCUCCGGCAAGCAGAGACACUCGGAUCCAGCAGUAGCAGCGUGGCCUCAGUUAGCUCCAGUGGCGGCGACGGUGUACUCCAACGGUGGUAGUUCCGGUGAACAUGGAAGACGCAGAUCGCGGCAGUGGCGGAGCAGAGCAGGAGAAGCAACGACAGCAGCUCCGACGGACGUCCUUCGGCGAGCUCUCCCUCCCUUCGAACCAAAUGGCGGCAGCGAUGGAGCUCGGAGGCGGCAGAGGCUCCAAUCGGCCGGAGCAGCUUCCAUCCUCCUCCGUCGCAGUCCUGUUCUCCUCGGCGUCNNNU
rnacentral:lncRNA from 1 species